rnacentral:miRNA from 1 species
GGAAUGUUGGCUGGCUCGAUG